GACGAAGGCAAUCCUGCUUUGGCUCACGAUGAAUUGUAACAGAAUUUAGACUUUUAUUUUUUCUUCAGUUUUUAUUCGUCGUUGUCGUUUUGUCGGUGUUUUGUUUGUCAUAACAAUAAACACGUAAAACUUUAUAAAACUAGCCAAAGCAAUGAGGUCUAUUAUAUUACAUUAUGUCUCAAUGCUUGUAUUAUCACUGUGAAUGACAAUUUGUAAGAGAGAGAGAGAGAGAGAGAGAGAGAGAGAGAGAGAGAGAGAGAGAGAGAGAGAGAGAGAGAAUAUUAUUUCAUGACCUAUUUAGUGUUUGCUCUAAUCGUUUUUCUCAAUCGCAUUAAUUUCCAUUUGUUUUCUGGGUCGAUCAAAUGAUAUAUCUCUUUUAUUGUUGUUUCUAAAAGCGGUUAAUUGAAAAUUGUAUGUCAUUGUGAACAGUGAAUAUUUAUUAGUUACAUCAUGUAAUAAAAUGUUCAGCGACUUCUGACCGGAAGAAAGUAUGUAAUAUUUUUUAAGCAUAAUUCUUAGAUGUAUUGUGAAACGCGGGACAACUCUGACCCACUUGUACAUUUGUACAAGUAUCAUCAUUAAAUUAAAUUGUAUAUUAUAAAAUAUAAAAAAUCAACCUUUUUGUAAAAAAAAUAGUUAUGGAAAAGUACAUGUACAUGAAAAAAAAAAAACCAGUCAACAGAUUGACGUUUUUAAUUUACUUCUUCUGAGCCAUUGAUCAUAAAAUAAUCAAAAUAACGUGAUCCACGGACAAUGACUCUCGAGAGAUAUCAUUUUUAUGGUUUUAUGGUAUCGUGUAUUUCAUGUUGCAUUGUAUUAUUUUUGCAAAUUAUACAAUAAAAAAAAUACAUCAUCUGU
rnacentral:misc_RNA from 1 species